rnacentral:rRNA from 1 species
AGUGAACGCUGGCGGUAGGCCUAACACAUGCAAGUCGAACGGCAGCACAGUAAGAGCUUGCUCUUACGGGUGGCGAGUGGCGGACGGGUGAGGAAUACAUCGGAAUCUACUUUUUCGUGGGGGAUAACGUAGGGAAACUUACGCUAAUACCGCAUACGACCUACGGGUGAAAGCAGGGGAUCUUCGGACCUUGCGCGAUUGAAUGAGCCGAUGUCGGAUUAGCUAGUUGGCGGGGUAAAGGCCCACCAAGGCGACGAUCCGUAGCUGGUCUGAGAGGAUGAUCAGCCACACUGGAACUGAGACACGGUCCAGACUCCUACGGGAGGCGGCAGUGGGGAAUAUUGGACAAUGGGCGCAGGCCUGAUCCAGCCAUACCGCGUGGGUGAAGAAGGCCUUCGGGUUGUAAAGCCCUUUUGUUGGGAAAGAAAAGCAGCAGGUUAAUACCCCGCUGUUCUGACGGUACCCAAAGAAUAAGCACCGGCUAACUUCGUG